rnacentral:rRNA from 1 species
UACGGAGGGUGCGAGCGUUGUCCGGAAUCACUGGGCGUAAAGAGCUCGUAGGCGGUCUGUUACGUCUGCUGUGAAAACCCAGGGCUUAACCCUAGGCUUGCAGUGGAUACGGGCAGACUAGAGGCAGGUAGGGAGAAUGGAAUUCCCGGUGUAGCGGUGAAAUGCGCAGAUAUCGGGAGGAACACCGGUGGCGAAGGCGGUUCUCUGGGCCUGACCUGACGCUGAGGAGCGAAAGC